rnacentral:rRNA from 1 species
UACAGAGGGGGCAAGCGUUGUUCGGAAUUACUGGGCGUAAAGGGCGCGUAGGCGGCCUUCUAAGUCGAACGUGAAAUCCCUGGGCUCAACCCAGGAACUGCGUCCGAUACUGGAAGGCUUGAAUCCGGGAGAGGGAUGCGGAAUUCCAGGUGUAGCGGUGAAAUGCGUAGAUAUCUGGAGGAACACCAAUGGCGAAGGCAGCUCGCUGGAACGGUACUGACGCUGAGGCGCGAAAGCGUGGGGAGCGAACGAGG